ACCGCCUAAAACGGCAGAUGCUUCAUUUUCUAACUCUUCAUCUUCUUCCAAAACAUCCACAAGAGAAACAGUGGCCUCGUCCCCUUCGUUUACCGCCAUCCUUGAAAAGACAGAGAAGCAAUAAUAUGUCAUUUCCUGUUCCUGUGGAAACAUUGCAUGUGUCCCUCGUUUUGCUUGUUAUUGAAUUCCAUAAUGCUUUUAUGCGGUUGUCUUAUUACCAGAACUCCGUAACACAACAGCGUCCAACGAUGCAAACCGGAACUUUACAAUCAACAUAGGAAAGAGCCGGAACUGGGUUAUAUCCCUGAUAAUCGAUUUUACGAUAUACCCGGGAAAGUAGCACGUUGUAGUUUUUUUAUCUCAAUAAUAGUAAUACGGAAAUAAGCUGUUCGUGAUUUGUAUUUAAUGCACAAUGUAAGUGCAGCAAUCAUAUAACCAACUACUCAGUAGGCGGAAGCAAAACGCAAAUUAAAUCGAAAAUACAAUAUUUCACAUCGAUUGUUAGCUAUUGCAAGCUGUUCCUUAUUUUAAAACCGGGUCGGAGUUCAGUUAGUUGACAUCAACAUGGCAGCGUGUGAGUUGCGAGGUGAAUUAAAAUACAGAGAUGGAGAGAAGAAAGAGUUUGUGGUUAAAACGGAAAACAACUUAAAGAACAUUGUAGCAGGCGUUCAGAAGAUGAAUGCGGACGUGUCAGCGGUACUCACAGAACUUGUUUUACGAGAAAAGGGGUCUGUGAAAAAUGGUAAAGGGGACAUUCAUGUCGAUGAUGAUGAAGAGGAUGACAGUGAUGAAGAGGAUGAAGAAAUUCAAGACCAUACAAAGGCAUCUAAUUCAGAACCUCCUGCCAAACGCACAAAGACAUUAAGAGCUUAAGAGACAUUAAACCUGUCUCUCACCACAGAGACCAACUGAUGGGAAUAUUUACCUGGACAAACAGCAACCUUGUUGUGGGGAUAUCAUUGGAUUGUUACAAAUAUAAUGGAUGUGCAAUGGUGUCAACCACUUUGAUCCAGACUGCAUGUGCCCUACUAGCCUAUCGGUCAGGAAAAUUGACUUUUAAAAAAUGAGGAUUUAAUCAAACCUGCAUUGGAAAAUUUGACCAGCCAUAUAUAGGUUUUGCUUUUACAUGUAUGAAUUGUAUUUGUGGGGGUUGGUAUUGGAGCAUUGUCUUUGAAAUGCAGAGAUGAAUGAAAAAUGAAGAAACCAGUGCAAUUA